rnacentral:lncRNA from 1 species
CUUUUCCCGCACCGGUGGCCGGACUCUGCAUGAGUCACCGCCUGCCUGCAAGCCCAGAGCUCGCCGCACCCCCCUGCCUCUCCGCACCGUCCCACAGGCUGUGACCCUCCACCCAGCCAUAGACGGUUCUGCUCUUGGCACAAAGGAGGGCUUCUUAGCCGGGAAUAUGGCUGCCCGGGAGGGGCGACUUCUGUGCUUGUUUUUCCUUCCUGGCACUGAAAACAAGCACAUCCACCCAACAAAUAAAGACGCGGUCAAUGAAAGCAGCUGUGUUUCAAGGGGAGACAGGGAGCAAGCCAAGGAAUAAAUGAAAAGACCCAGUGACAAAAUGCCCAUUCAUCGGGUUCACUCGGCAAACAUUUACUGAAGCAUCUGUGUGCCAGGCACUGUCCUGAGUGCUGGGAAGACACAAAGAUGCCCUUCAGAACGAUGACCCCCGCCUCGCCCUCCGCUGGAACCGGGAGGCAGACACACACAUAAAUACGACACAGUCAACCGUCCCCAGUUCACAGCAUCUAAAGGAGCUAGGAAUGCAUGGGAUGCUUAUGGAAUGUGCGAGAACACGGAGACAAAGUCUCACUGUGUUCCCAGGCUGAUCCCCAACUCCUGAGCUCAAGCCAGCCACCAGCCUUGGCCUCCCAAAGUGCUGGGAUUACAGGCGUGAGCCACCACGCCGGGCCCAGAUGAACAGUCUUAUGAAUCAAUUUCAUUUCCAAGAGCCCUGUUGGCCUAGGUGACAGAGCAAGACUCCAUCUCCAAAAAAAAAAAAAAAAAUUAAAAGGCGCCAGAGAGCUGCUUUCUCCUUCAGCCACAUAAGGGCACAACAACAAGGUGCCACGAAGCAAAGAGCCCUCACCAGACAUGGAAUCUGCGGGCGCCUUCUCAGCCUCCAGAACUAUCAGCAAUAAAUUUCUGUUGUUUAUAAAUUCCCCAGUCUAAGAUACUUUGUUAUAGCAACCUAAAUGGACUGAGACUGACACCCAUUGUGUAAUAUAACACUGAUGAUAACUGUUCCAAUCACUGGGCACCUACCCUGUGUCAGGAACUGCAUUUAUGAGCUUUAGGUGUUGACAGUAACCAUAUCGGGAGGUAUUAAUAUUCCUUGUUUCCGCCUUUUUUUUUAGUGUGCCAUUUGAUUCCAAAUGCUAUGCUCUUCCCACUUGGCUCUUCUGUUUUGUUUGUGCAAUCUGGGUUCGUCUCGGAAGUGUGUAUUUAAGGUUCUCUCCAGGUUAGAGAGAAUGUGGCAGCAUGCCUGAUGAUGUCACCCACUGCUUCUGUUAUACCCUGCCCAGCUUACCCCUUCCCUCUGGGCCUUUUAUAGGACCUUGUAUUUAGUCCAACAACAACAAUAGCACAACACCCAUAAACAAAACACCUCUGCAUAUAAUACAAUGUACUUGCCUACUUGCUGACUGAAAGAGCUCCCACAGCCUCCCAGGUGCUGCCCUGCGCUUGGAGCAAAGCCUAUCUGAGGCUGAAGAAUGAGUAAGUCACCACCUGAAUCCUGCCCUCCAGCCAGCUCUCUUCAUCAUGGAAAUUCUUGGAGCAGAGUGGAAGGGAACCUGAGAGGAGAGAUGGCACCUUCACUGAUUCCUCCUUUAUCUUUCCAGACUUCAUGGCUGAGACAGAGCUGAGAGCAGAGAAAACAGACUCAUAAAAUCCUGGCAGAAUCUUUCCAUUCUAAUAGCUCAAGCUUCCCCUAUUGCACAGAAGAAAUGCAAGCCUCUUCCCUUCUGGAAUCGCACCAUGGGCAGUACUCCAGAGAGUGGAAACUCUCUGACACCAAACAAGGGACAAUUCAAGAAUAAAUGGCACCUGAGUCCCAGGAGGGCAAAGCAGAGUGAGAAAAGAAUUAGUGAGUGAUGUGGAAAGGACAACAUCCUUUCAUCCCAGAGUCAAAGCCCCGGCAAGCCUCCAGGCCUCAGCGCUCCCUCUGUCUUACAGCACAAAAACACCUUUUGUGGAUGGGAAAGGACUCAGGACGUGAUCAGACUGGCCUGCUGAGAGUAUCAUAGGGAAGUGCUGGAUGGGUUCAUGGAAAGAAGUAUACACAGAUGAGGAACAGCAGAAAGGCAUGAGAAAAGAGGAAGGUAUGGAAAAGAGUGAAAUUGGCAUAAAAAAUCCAAUAAAGGGCAACGAGCAGGAAACAACAAAAACAUGGGAAACUGCCGACCUGAGGAAUCGCGCUCUUCUAACUUUACAGCUUCACCUGCCGUGUUUGCUCCUGGAGGACUGAGACUUUUGUCUGAUUCGUCUGCUGCUGUCUUCCCGAUGCCUAGAACACUGCCUGAUGCACGGGAAGUAUUUGUCAGAUACAUCCCAUGGCUUCUAAUGCCAUUUGCAAGGAUGAAAGCUGGGUGUGCCCGGCUGUACGGCAAUACUUCCAAAGGCCUGUAGGACUCCCCAGUGACUGUCCCAUUCACCAGGAGGAGGACUGCAGUCACCUGCAUUGUCCUGGGAAGGUCAGCCAGGCCUUUUCCCAAUGUCUGUCUGGGAAAAGCCCCGGUGUAGUCUGCUCGGUCCUACACCCAGAAUCACGGGGGCUUCAGGAGCAGGCAUUACGAGGCAAGGAGUAGCUUCUCCCCCUCACCUCCCACUCAGCAGAACGCACUAGCCCUGUGCUCUUCUGAUCCUGAAGGCAGCUGAGUCUGAAAAGUUCCUGUACCUUUAAAGGUACUAGAGGCAGUGUGGUGCCCACUCAGGAACUGCAUGAUUUAAAUAGGUUUCUAGGAUAAAGGCAACUCGUAGCACAAAGGAACAAGUCCCAGGGAGUGGCAUUCCAGAUCAUUUGAUUCCUGAGCGAAGGAAUUAUUAUGGUGUGGAGGUGGGGACCUCCUUACUACAUUCCAAAUUGCAAUAAGGUUGUAAGGGUUUUCUCUUCCAUUCUGAAGUACUUUGACAAUAGUUUUGAACUUCAAAAAUGUUUAUUAAAGGUGUUUUCACAGCAGUUUCAUAAUGUUUAAUUUGUUAAUUACUGGAAUUGAUGCUAAAUAAAACAGGCAAGUAAUACUUCAGAUGGCUUCAUCUUCAGAGUCUUCUUCAUGUGUGACUCAAAAUGCACAAUUUUGGCCGGGCACAGUGGCUCACGCCUGUAAUCCCAGCACUUUGGGAGGCUGAGACAGGCGGAUCACCUGAGGUCAGGAGUUUGAGACCAGUUUGGCCAACAUGGUGAAACCCCAUCUCUACUAAAAAUACAAAAAUUAGAUGGGCAUGGUGGUGUGUGCCUGUAAUCCCAGCUGCUUGGGAAGCUGAGGCAGGAGAAUUGAUUGAACCCAAGAGGCGGGGCUUGCAGUGAGCCGAGAUCCCGCUCCAGCCUGGGCAACAAGAGCGAGACUCCGUCUCAAAAAAAGAAAAAAAAAGCACAAUUUCAGGACAGCCUAAGCAAAUAAAAAAUGGGAAAUGGAAAUGGAUUCGAAGCAGGGAGGACGUUCCGCCCACUGUCACACCGAAGGAAUGGUGGAGGCUGUGAGUCCUCCGCCCACUGUCACACCGAAGGAUGGUGGAGGCUGUGAGUCCUCCUGUAAGCCGCCGCUGGAGAAGGGGCAGCUCUGGAACCUGACGACAUUCUCCUAUCUUGCAUGAGGUGGAGACAAAGAGUCCUUCUGCGCUGGGACAGGAUGAGGGCGAAGUGGUGACUUCAGGUCAGAAGCAGAGCCUUGGGGACCUCUGAUUCUCAAGGGCGAGCUCCCUCCAGAACCCCAAGAGAUGGCCCUGACUGCAUGGGAAAGCGUGUCUCACCAUUGCAAUGUUCUCUAAGUCUGGAGGAGGCGGAGCCCAGUGAGAAUGACAGGCAGACCGCAAGGAGGCCCGGAAGCCCCCCAUGGCGAGGAUGCAUCCAAGUGUAUUCUGUAGGAGUGACCAGUGGCCACGUGGGUAGUGGGCAGAGCUUGUUUUCCUCCAAUAUCAGCGUACAGAGCAGGGGAGCCUGGUGAAGGUUUCUCUCUGAAAUCAUGGAUUCAGCUGUAUUAGUUUCUAUCCAAGGCUGGCAUAGCUCACCUUCCACUCCAGCAAUGACCUCGGGCCAGCUGUCACGAGCCUUCUCACCACGAGGAUGGUCUGGGGUGGUGAGAUCUCACUGUUGGCCAUAAUUCAUUCAACAUUUCUUCACUUCUCUGCUUGUAAGUUUUCAUUUCCUCUGCAGCUGGUAGCUUCUGUCAUUUCUUUUCCUAUUUAUACCAGUCCUGAAUCAGCUUCUUUUUCAGAACCAUGCAUUUCUCUCGGUAGAGGUCG